rnacentral:rRNA from 1 species
AGUGAACGCUGGCGGUAGGCCUAACACAUGCAAGUCGAACGGCAGCACAGUAAGAUCUUGCUCUUACGGGUGGCGAGUGGCGGACGGGUGAGGCAUACAUCGGAAUCUACUUUUUCGUGGGGGAUAACGUAGGGAAACAUACGCUAAUACCGCAUACGACCUACGGGUGAAAUCAGCGGAUCUUCGGACCUUGCGCGAUUGAAUUAGCCGAUGUCGGAUUAGCUAGUUGGCGGGGUAAAGGCCCACCAAGGCGACGAUCCGUAGCUGGUCUGAGAGGAUGAUCAGCCACACUGGAACUGAGACACGGUCCAGACUCCUACGGGAGGCAGCAGUGGGGAAUAUUGGACAAUGGGCGAAAGCCUGAUCCAGCCACACCGCGUGGGUGAAGAAGGCCUUCGGGUUGUAAAGCCCUUUUGUUGGGAAAGAAAAGCAGCAGGUUAAUACCCCGAUGUUCUGACGGUACCCAAAGAAUAAGCACCGGCUAACUUCGUG